GAGUCUCCUGAAGGAACGUUGAAGACGACGACGUUGAUAGGCCGGGUGUGUAAGCGCAGCGAUGCGUUGAGCUAACCAGUACUAAUGAACCGUGAGGCUUAACCUUACAACGCCGAAG
rnacentral:rRNA from 1 species